GCGGGAUGCCUUACACAUGCAAGUCGAACGGCAGCACGGACUUCGGUCUGGUGGCGAGUGGCGAACGGGUGAGUAAUGUAUCGGAACGUGCCUAGUAGCGGGGGAUAACUACGCGAAAGCGUAGCUAAUACCGCAUACGCCCUACGGGGGAAAGCAGGGGAUCGCAAGACCUUGCACUAUUAGAGCGGCCGAUAUCGGAUUAGCUAGUUGGUGGGGUAACGGCUCACCAAGGCGACGAUCCGUAGCUGGUUUGAGAGGACGACCAGCCACACUGGGACUGAGACACGGCCCAGACUCCUACGGGAGGCAGCAGUGGGGAAUUUUGGACAAUGGGGGAAACCCUGAUCCAGCCAUCCCGCGUGUGCGAUGAAGGCCUUCGGGUUGUAAAGCACUUUUGGCAGGAAAGAAACGUCAUGGGCUAAUACCCCGUGAAACUGACGGUACCUGCAGAAUAAGCACCGGCUAACUACGUGCCAGCAGCCGCGGUAAUACGUAGGGUGCAAGCGUUAAUCGGAAUUACUGGGCGUAAAGCGUGCGCAGGCGGUUCGGAAAGAAAGAUGUGAAAUCCCAGAGCUUAACUUUGGAACUGCAUUUUUAACUACCGAGCUAGAGUGUGUCAGAAGGGAGGUGGAAUUCCGCGUGUAGCAGUGAAAUGCGUAGAUAUGCGGAGGAACACCGAUGGCGAAGGCAGCCUCCUGGGAUAACACUGACGCUCAUGCACCGAAGCGUGGGGAGCAAACAGGAUUAGAUACCCCUGGUAGUCCAC
rnacentral:rRNA from 1 species